UACGAGGGGGGGCAAGCGUUGUUCGGAAUUAUUGGGCGUAAAGGGCGCGUAGGCGGUGCGGUAAGUCACCUGUGAAAACUCUGGGCUCAACUCAGAGCCUGCAGGCGAAACUGCCGUGCUUGAGUGUGGGAGAGGUGCGUGGAAUUCCCGGUGUAGCGGUGAAAUGCGUAGAUAUCGGGGAGGAACACCUGUGGCGAAAGCGGCGCACUGGACCACAACUGGCGCUGAGGCGCGAAAGCUAGGGGAGCAAACAGG
rnacentral:rRNA from 1 species